CUCUAUGGUCAUACCACCCUGAACAUGCCGGAUCUCAUUUCUUCUCAGAAACUAAGCAGGAUUGGGUCCGUUAGUACCUGGAGCAGAGAUCACCAGGGAAUACCAGGUGUUAGGCU
ensembl:rRNA 5S_rRNA 5S ribosomal RNA